ACGAUUUUUUCUGGUUCCGUCCCUGGUCCCCUCCGCCGCCUCCUCAUCGAUCUCAACGGCACCACCAACACCACCUUCCACAUUGACGUCCAAUUCAAACUCCGAGAAUGAAGGUUCGCGAAGGUGAUAACGAACACAAUUUGGCAUCGAGGUUUGCAUGAAGAUGACGGAGAUCGCGUGAAGGUGAAGGUGCUCUCUGUUUCUUGCUCAGAAAUUCUGGAUGAUUGAGUUUGAGAGUUCAUUUUUCUUGCGGAUUCUGAAAUUACCUUACGCAAUGCCACUGGAUUAUCUGAAACGUGUUGAAGUUGUCAGGAGGCUGAAUUGCUCGUCCCCGUUUUGCUUGUUACGCCGAAAUUCAAUUUUUUUGGCAUCGAGGUAUGCGUGAAGGUGAUGGAGAUCGCGUGAAGAGGUAGCAUUGAGAUUGGCAACUUGGAAGCACCUAUUGGCAUCUCGGCUUGUAUGAUGUGGGAUUUGAUUUCCCUAACAUGUCUAUUUGCACCUACUGAGCUUCCGGUUCAACGAGCUAUCCUUCUUCUGCAGGUUUCUUCUUCCUCUUUUGUUAUGGUUGAUUUUACUUAAAGAUGAUGGAUGUGUGUUAUGAGUGGAAGACAGCCAGAGGGAUUCCAAAUUGCCAUAUGGGGUUCUUAUACCUGAAUUCUUCUGGCCGAAUCGAAGACUGACUUAAAGAUGGAAUGGAAAUGAGGAUUUUUAACGACUGACUCUUUUAAGCCACUAAGAUUCGUACAAAGUUCCUGAAGUUCCUGAGAAUGUCAAGAGGUAGCAUUGAGAUUGACAACUUUGAAGGCAUCUAUUGGCAUCUAGGUCUGAUGUGGGAUUUGAUUUCCUGACAGUUGAUGAGCGGCCCCUUGUUACUUUCAAUGCUAUUUUUAUUUCAUAGGUAUAGACAUAGUUCAUUCUGUUGUUUAUAUGAGUAAUUUUCUGAAGAUAUAUUAUUGAAAGGAACAUUGCACUUUUCUGGGUUUCUACUCUAUUUUUGAAGCUUUGUAGUUUCGAGGACGAAACUUUUACAUAGAAACUUUAACAAGUACUAGAUUAUAGCAAUCUCUUAUG